ACAUUCUUGGCAGUAGAAUAACAAGUCCCCAAGACACUCUAGCUGGCACUGCUCUGAGGACACUUUCUGGUAUAGGGCUUCAUCUUCAUCUUCAUCACUGCAAAGAGAGAUGUAGCUAGAAGAUUAAAUAAGAUGGCAGUGUGAGAAGUGAGGCAGAAACCUCCUCCCAAAACCACAUAUAACACGAAAAUACAGCAAAUAUAACUAAUCCUGAAAAAGCAACCAGAAAGAAGACUGCAACAGAUGGCCUACAUCUGGGGAAAAGAGAGGACCUCGUGGAAAAGGAGCUGUACAUGUGUGGAAAUACAAACAUGAUGACCCUAUUCAGAAUAGAACUGACUGAAUCUGAACACUGAAAUUCAGUACAGGUUGUAACUUGAUUUUACCAUUAAAGAUUAAGCUAAUCAAAUGUUGCCUCCUAAAAUAUCACAGUGAUCCUUUUGCUAGUAAUUUUCCAGAGCGUCUCAUGCACUUACUGAGUUCAAUUAAGACUUGUGAGGAGCAAAAGGGUAAGGUUAGUUACUCAAUAUACUAUUUUGCACUGUGAGUGCUUUCAGAAGAUAUUAUAUAAAAUAAUCUUUUUCAAAAGAUUUGAAAGAGUCUCCCUGAACCAAAAAGAGAAACUGGCAGUUUUCUGAGCACCAUUAUGAGCUAAAGUAUGCAGUGAACCUACAAAAGGUACCUUAUUUCAUCCCCAUAACUCAAGUGUUAAAUUUAAGUUGCCUCAAAUGGUACAGAUAAUCCACCCUGGAGCCAGAUUCCAACAUAGGUCUGUUUGACUCAAAAAGCCAGAUGCUUUUCACUGCAUUAUACAACAGAAUCUGAACCACAGCAUUUACAAAAUACAACACUUUCAUCUCCCAUAGCUUUGAAAGAUACUUCUUUUGGUCCUUUGCAUGUUAUUUGAGGUCACAGGUCAAUUAGAGAUGGUAACAUCAUCCUGCCUUAGGGAGGAGCUACAGGUUAACCCUUUACUAUAAAGCCCUUUGUACUUCUUUAAUUAAUACCAUGUGCAAAUUAAUACCAUAUUGUCUUUUCUAAACAUAGAGAGAGAGAGAGAAAGAUUGGUCCCUGGACCAGCUCUGGCACUCACUCGUAUGAUGUGGACAAGUCACUUCCCAAUCUUUUGAACUUUGUUCCCUUUACUAUAAAAGGAGGGAUUAAUUUGCUAAAACCCAAAGAAUGUACCACACCAAGAGUGAACUCUAAUGUAAACUAUGGACUGUGGACAAUAUUGAUGUGUCAGUGUAGGUUCUUCGACUGUAACAAACAUCCCACUCCGAUGUGAGAUGCUGAUAGUGGGAGAGGCUGUGCACGUACGGGGGCAGAAGAUAGAUGGGCACUCUCUGUACUUUCUGCUCGAUUUUUGUGGGAACCUAAAACUGUUUUUAAAAACCAAGUCUAUUAAAA